rnacentral:rRNA from 1 species
AUUGAACGCUGGCGGCAGGCCUAACACAUGCAAGUCGAGCGAGCGGCGGACGGGUGAGUAAUGUCUGGGAAACUGCCUGAUGGAGGGGGAUAACUACUGGAAACGGUAGCUAAUACCGCAUACCCUCAGGUGUGCCCAGAGGGGAUUAGCUAGUAGGUGGGGUAACGGCUCACCUAGGCGACGCUCCCUCGCUGGGCUGGGAGGAUGACAAGCCAAACUGGAACUGUGAGACGGUCAAGACGCCUACGGGAGGCAGCAGUGGGGAAGAUGGCACAAUGGGCGCAAGCCUGAUGCAGCCAUGCCGCGUGUGUGAAGAAGGCAUUCGGGUUGUAAAGCACUUUCAGCGGGGAGGCGUUACCCGCAGAAGAAGCACCGGCUAACUCCGUGCCAGCAGCCGCGGUAAUUC